rnacentral:rRNA from 1 species
GUUUGAUCAUGGCUCAGGAUUAACGCUAGCGGCAGGCCUAAUACAUGCAAGUCGAACGGGAUUCAAAGUAGCAAUAUUUUGAUGAGAGUGGCGCACGGGCGAGUAACACGUAUGCAAUUUACCUUUAACUGGGGGAUAGCCCUCCGAAAGGAGGAUUAAUACCGCAUAAUAUAUUGAAAUGGCAUCAUUUUAAUAUUAAACCUACGGGGGUUAAAGAUGAGCAUGCAUCCGAUUAGCUAGUUGGUGUGGUAACGGCUCACCAAGGCAACGAUCGGUAGGGGGUCUGAGAGGAUGAUCCCCCACACUGGUACUGAGACACGGACCAGACUCCUACGGGAGGCAGCAGUAAGGAAUAUUGGACAAUGGAGGCAACUCUGAUCCAGCCAUGCCGCGUGAAGGAUUAAGGCCCUAUGGGUUGUAAACUUCUUUUAGACGGGACAAAACCCCUUUACGUGUAAAGGGUUGAUGGUACUGUCAGAAUAAGCAUCGGCUAACUUCGUG